rnacentral:rRNA from 1 species
GACGAACGCUGGCGGCGUGCUUAACACAUGCAAGUCGAACGAUGAAACCUAGCUUGCUAGGUCGAUUGGUGGUGAACGGGUGAGUAACACGUGACUAACCUGCCCCUUUCUCUGGGAUAACGCUCCGAAAGGAGUGCUAAUACCGGAUACUCACACCGAGGCACAUGCCUUGGUGUGGAAGGUUUUUCGGAAAGGGAUGGAGUCGCGGCCUAUCAGCUUGCUGGUGAGGUAACGGCUCACCAAGGCGACGACGGGUAGCCGGCCUGAGAGGGCGACCGGCCACACUGGGACUGAGACACGGCCCAGGCUCCUACGGGAGGCAGCAGUGGGGAAUAUUGCACAAUGGGCGCAAGCCUGAUGCAGCGACGCCGCGUGAGGGAUGAAGGUCUUCGGAUUGUAAACCUCUUUCAGUAGGGACGAAGCGAAAGUGACGGUACCUAAAGAAGAAGCACCGGCUAACUACGUGCCAGCCGCCGCAGUAA